ACUCGGUCGGUGACCAAUGAAGACGCCCGUGAAAAAACCUAGAUCGAGCAGUCAAAGGGAUCACGUCCUCCUCGUUCCAUCCACUCCCUCGCCUCCUUCUUCCUCCCCAUCCGGCGGCGCGUCCUUCCUCUUUCCCACGGCCUCCCGCAUCGUGCUGAGCCUCGCCGGCCGCUUCCCCCAGCCGGUGUCCCUCUCCAGAUGCAUCCUCCCCAAGAUUCGGGUACGGAGAGAGUCACGGUGGCAGGGGCAGAUGCGUGAGGACGAGGAGGCCAUGGUCAUGGUGGCGCGACGGAGGUCGUGGCUCGCCCCCCGCCGCCUCUCUCGUGCCCCCCUUUUCCCUACCCCCUUCCCGGCGUCCUUGCCUCUGCCAUGGCCUCCGCCCGAUUCCAGAUCGGCCGCAGGUCGAGGAGCGGUUGCUGUAGUGAGGGCAGCAGCGUGCAGAGGGGGAGAGGUCAAGGACGGUUGCCAGUUCAUGGAGGAGAGAUGCAACACAACGUUGAUUCCUACGCUGAGUUUUAGUGGUGGCAUGGUGUCCAUCUCCAGGCCGGUUGCAACCUUCUGCCCCCAUCAUUCCCUGUAUUUUUUUCAUAAUUUACACACUAAGUUGUAGAUUGGUCGGAUCUAUUGGCAUUAGGCAGCACAAGAAUAACAAUAGUUGUCAGCUUUUUCAUGUGCAGGUUCAGCAGCGGCAAUCCUCGAGAUAGAUUUAGGCCGAUCUGAAUAAACAGAGAUGAGCAGCAGCAGGGUUGGGUGCUCCAUUUGUAUGCGUUGCAUUGGUUAAUUUUGUUGUGCUCAUGUUUCUGUUUCAUGCUAUUGUCCACGAGUUCUACUUGUUGCUUAUUUCCAAUUAAGUAUUUAGUUCCAUAAUGCUCUGGCCAACCUAUUUUAUUGCAACAUUUGUGGUUCUUUUGUGCCAGAUUAGGUGUUUGUAUUUUUUUCCGAGUUCUUAUGGCAUACUUUCUUAAGAUUUUUAUUUGUGACACUUGCAGAAGUGCGGUUCAACAUUAGUUAGUAAUGCCCAGUAAGUUACUAAGGUGUUAUGUAACUGCAAUCCUUGAAAGCAGAGAUGAGAUAUCUAUCCAAUUCUACAUAUAUGGUUUAAAGUUCAUUGCGACAACCUUGCUCAUAUGUUUCGAUUACUACAGAGCAAGAGCGGCUGCUACUUCAGUGCCCAACUUUGAAGAAUGUACAUGCAUUUGGAUGCCAAGAUAUGUCGAUUGGUGCAAUUAGAACCCCAGGUGGCUAUGUUGUUGAUGGGGAUUAAUUAUUGUACUACCCGCAAGAAAAUAUUGUACUGACAUAUCUGAGAAUUUUAAUGAUCUAUCUGCAACCAGGUACCUGCCAUUCUCUGAUCCAUAUUCUAGAUGCUUCCAUUGCUACAACAUUCUCAAGCUAUAUUGCAAAGUUUGUUGCUUAUAUAGUUAUUACUAUUGGUCUAUAUGGUGUCGGCUGGAUGUGUGCCACCUGAAAGAUCUCAUUGUUUGUAACCAGGCAAUACAAACAUUCCAUUACUACCAGACAUGUCUUUCUUUGGAAUAUGAGGAGGGAGCUCUGUUGUUGUCAGUGGCUACAUCAUUUCGACCAGUGAUAUGGUUAAUCUUUGCGAUGUGGACCAAUGGCAUGAUCUGUACCUAAGGUUGGAGUUGCUGAAUUAGCUACUUCCUUUUGUGGAUGAUUAAUUAUUUGCAUGAAGGUUCAGAGAAUGGCCUCUAUUGCCUUACAGUCCAACUGAACACGUGAGAAAUUACUGAUGCGCAUGGAUGACAGCUUUCCCACGACGAAGCAAAAUUGCAGGACCUAUUAGGAUGCAUACCUGAAGGAGUGCAUCUACUGGCCCAGCUGAAAAUCGAUCUCUAUUUGGUUUAUGUAUUCUAUUUUUGCUCUCGGUUUUGUCUACCGCUCGUCCUUGGUAUGCUCAUCCAUCUUGCCUGCUUUGCUUGCCUCCUUCUCCUCUCCAAUUCAGGUUCUGCGAUCCCUUGUGUUGCUGCGUCCCGAUCUCCAGCUUUGUUGCAUCUCUGUUCUGCUCCUCGAGGUGCUCAACAGGAGAAGCACUCAAUAGGAGAAGCAGGAGCAGCGGAGCGUUAGCCUCGUUGCAGAUUUGGUUUAUCUAUGUCUGCAGGUUGUUUGAUAAAAAUCCAAAAAGGCUGACAUGGGUGCGUGGACAAACAGAUGCUAGGGGCAUUGUUUCACACAACACCUACACCAAUGACCACUGGACAAGUGACGCAAAGGGACUUGUGAACAACAUGAAAAACUUUCAGCCAUCUUUUGAUUACAUGGAAAUAUGCCUUUGAUGCAUCCGUGUUAUUAUUUACUGACCGACUGUGUUUAGCAACUUCAGUGUGUCGAUCAAAAUUACUACUCCCUCCAUCCGAAAAAGCUUGUCCCACGAAUGAUUGUAUGUAGCAUCAAGUGGUAGAUACAUCCAUUUGAGGAACAAGCUUUUCCGGAUCGAGGGAGUAUAUGAUGUAAUUGACCAAUAUCACUAAGAAGUGCUCCUGGACACAAAAUGCUCUAUAUUAUCAUGUCUUGAAUUUUCUAAUUGCAAACUCAAACAUUUG